rnacentral:rRNA from 1 species
UAUCCACUAUUAACUUCCUACAACUAGUAUAAGGAAAGACGCAACUAGACAAGUAUUUUCAAAAAAAUUCCUACCAUGCAUACCCGCAAGGGCUUAAGUAAAUAAACCUUAGAAUUGAUCAAACCAUUUACCUUUUGCAUAAUGUAACUGCAAGAAAAAGCAACUCAUAAUGUCUCCCGAAAAGUGGGGAGCUACUAUAGCUAUAACUUCUAGUGUGACACUACUAGAACACAGCCUACAGUAGCAGCAAAAUACCUAUCGAACCACUUGAUAGCUGGUUUUUCCUUAAAGACAUGUAAGUGUCUUCUUUCAGAAACCAAUAAAACUAUUUCUGUAAGAAAAACUCUAAUGGGGACAAGCUCUCUAGAGUUUUUAGAAAAAACAAUACACAAAUUUUCAGAAAGGCCUAAAAACAGCCAAAUUAUCCGUUACAGGAAACGACAUCCCUUUAUUAAUAUCUAAUAAAAAUUCUAUUACUCAAGGAACCUAAUAGGGUAACACACCCCUUUUAUGAACUGGCAAUUAUUAGUAUCUAAAAAGCAAGCAUACAUAACUUUUUUUAAAAAAAUUGUCUCUAAAUCAUUGCUACAUAAUAUCAUUAGUAAUGAACUCGGCAAAACUUUCCUCUGCCUGUUUAUCAAAAACAUCGUCUUUUGUUACUAUAAAGAUAAAAGAUAAUGCCUGCCCCAUGAUCUCUAUUAAAUGGCCGCGUUAGCGUGAGCGUGCUAAGGUAGCGUAAUAAACAGCUCCCUAAUUAGGAGCCAGUGAAUGGCUAAACAGAGGAAGACUUUAUUACUAAUGAAAAGAAAACUUUUCAUUUAAGUGAAAAGACUUAAAUCAAAGAAAAAGACAAAAAGACCCCGCGGAACUCCCUUAAGACUUUACUAUAUAAACAAGGAUUAUACUUAAAAUCAACUGGUUGGUUGGGGCAACCUUGGAGCAACACAAACCUCCAUUUACUACAAAAUCUUAUUCAAAACUCAAUGUGGACCAUAUUUGCAGUUACCCCGGGGAUAACAGCGUUAUCCAGCUUAAGAGUACGAAUUGAAAGCUGGGUUUGCGACCUCGAUGUUGGCUUAGGGAAAGCAACUUGGUGCAGCCGCUAAGUUCAAUGCCAGUCUGUUCGACUGCUAACCCCCUACACGAUCUGAGUUAAGACCGGCGAGAGCUAGGUUGGAUUCUAUCUUUUCUUCAAAAACAAUUUCUUUAUUGUACGAAAGGACCCAAAGAAACACACUAAGAGUGCUUACUUGAAACAAAAACCAUUUAUACAAACUUACACUCACU